UACGUAGGGUGCGAGCGUUGUCCGGAAUUAUUGGGCGUAAAGAGCUCGUAGGCGGUUUGUUGCGUCGGCCGUGAAAACCUGCAGCUUAACUGUGGGCCUGCGGCCGAUACGGGCAGACUUGAGUUCGGUAGGGGAGACUGGAAUUCCUGGUGUAGCGGUGAAAUGCGUAGAGAUGCGGAGGAACACCGAUGGCGAAGGCAGCCCCCUGGGCCAAUACUGACGCUCAGGCACGAAAGCGUGGGGAGCAAACAGG
rnacentral:rRNA from 1 species